rnacentral:tRNA from 1 species
GGGGCUUUAGCUCAGUUGGUUAGAGCAUCUCCCUUUUAAGGAGAGGGUCAAUGGUUCGAGUCCAUUAAGCCUCA